AUUGAACGCUGGCGGCAUGCUUUACACAUGCCAGUCGAACGGUAACAGGCCUUCGGGUGCUGACGAGUGGCGAACGGGUGAGUAAUGCAUCGGAACGUGCCCAGAGGUGGGGGAUAACGCAGCGAAAGCUGUGCUAAUACCGCAUGUGAUCUGAGGAUGAAAGCGGGGGACCAGGCAGCAAUGUUUGGCCUCGCGCCUUUGGAGCGGCCGAUGUCAGAUUAGGUAGUUGGUGGGGUAAAGGCCUACCAAGCCGACGAUCUGUAGCUGGUCUGAGAGGACGACCAGCCACACUGGGACUGAGACACGGCCCAGACUCCUACGGGAGGCAGCAGUGGGGAAUUUUGGACAAUGGGCGCAAGCCUGAUCCAGCAAUGCCGCGUGCGGGAAGAAGGCCUUCGGGUUGUAAACCGCUUUUGUACGGAACGAAAAGGCUCUGGCCAAUACCUGGGGCUGAUGACGGUACCGUAAGAAUAAGCACCGGCUAACUACGUG
rnacentral:rRNA from 1 species